rfam:Hordeum vulgare subsp. vulgare, WGS project CAJW01000000 data, contig: morex_contig_1985020
CUGAUACUCCCACCAUCCGGAAUUACUUGUCAUAUAAAUGUAUAAAAGUGGAUGUGCUAGAACUAAAAUACAUCUAGAUACAUCCACUCCUAUGACAAGUAUUUCCGUGCGGAGGAAGUACUUG